rnacentral:tRNA from 1 species
GCCGGAGUGGUGGAACAGGUAGACGCGCCGGACUCAAAAUCCGGUGCCCGAAAGGGCGUGCGGGUUCGAGUCCCGCCUCCGGCACCA